rnacentral:rRNA from 1 species
GACGAACGCUGGCGGCGUGCUUAACACAUGCAAGUCGAACGAUGAAGCCUUUCGGGGUGGAUUAGUGGCGAACGGGUGAGUAACACGUGGGUAAUCUGCCCUGCACUCUGGGAUAAGCCCGGGAAACUGGGUCUAAUACCGGAUAUGACUUUCUUACGCAUGUAGGAAGGUGGAAAGUUCCGGCGGUGCAGGAUGAACCCGCGGCCUAUCAGCUUGUUGGUGGGGUAAUGGCCUACCAAGGCGACGACGGGUAGCCGGCCUGAGAGGGCGACCGGUCACACUGGGACUGAGACACGGCCCAGACUCCUACGGGAGGCAGCAGGUGGGAAUAUUGCACAAUGGGCGAAAGCCUGAUGCAGCGACGCCGCGUGAGGGAUGACGG